rnacentral:rRNA from 1 species
GGUGCAUGGUUGUCGUCAGCUCGUGUCGUGAGAUGUUGGGUUAAGUCCCGCAACGAGCGCAACCCUUGAUCUUAGUUGCCAGCAUUCAGUUGGGCACUCUAAGGUGACUGCCGGUGACAAACCGGAGGAAGGUGGGGAUGACGUCAAAUCAUCAUGCCCCUUAUGGGCAGGGCUACACACGUGCUACAAUGGCCAGUACAGAGGGUUGCCAACCCGCGAGGGGGAGCUAAUCUCACAAAGCUGGUCGUAGUCCGGAUUGGAGUCUGCAACUCGACUCCAUGAAGUCGGAAUCGCUAGUAAUCGCGGAUCAGAAUGCCGCGGUGAAUACGUUCCCGGGCCUUGUACACACCGCCCGUCACACCAUGGGAGUGGGUUGCAAAAGAAGUAGGUAGCUUAACCUUCGGGAGGGCGCUUACCACUUUGUGAUUCAUGACUGGGGUG